GUAAAUUAAAGUCUUUUCUGGACAUGAAUGUGUGGAUCUCUUAGGGCACAGUAGAAGAAAGGAAAUUUUUACUUUUUGUGUUAUACGGGCAGUGACUACAACAACCUCAGUAGAGCCAAUUAGACCCAAGGUCUGCCUUGUUCGCGAGCAGGUGGACCCGUACUUUUGAUGUUGAAUCACAAUCAGCAGGGACACGCUCUGGUAAAAUUGUACACACACCUGACCAUACUGUUGAACAUCUACGGUUGGACGAGGUGGACAACAAAGGCAGAAUAUAUUAUGGAGUGACACGGUCACAUCACUUCAUACGAGACUUAAGAAAGGUAAAGGUAUGUGAACUCGUUAACUUCAUAACAAUAGAGUUAUUCAUGAAAAGUCAAAUAAAAAGUCCAAGUAGUGGGCGACACUUGGAAUUGUAAGUCUCUAGGACAUUGCCGAAACUCUUGUCAAGUGUUGUGUGCAGCUCGACAGGAAGCUGCUGACUAACAUCACAACGGAUGUCCAAUGUGUUUGGUUGCAAGCUUCAGGUCUGGACAGGACACUAGGCUAGUAUCACAGGGUUUGGGUCAAGUUCACGAAGUAAAUAGUGCAACCUGAAGAGCACUGUCAGUGUCUCACAAUACUGAAUAUUCAUUUCGUGGCUCAUUCCUUACUUACAAGUAUACACACGUUCCCCAACCUUACCCUACAUAUUCACUGCUUGUGUAUUUCUGUCCCACUGACUUUUCUGUUUCUCUGUCUCUCUUUUAGAUCCUCGCAGUUUCUUUUUCCUUUUCCUAUUCUUUGUUGGAAUAUGACUCACAUCAACAUCACAAGGUCCAUGUGGUCUCGUGCAGCAGCGAGUGUCAACUAAGAUGGCUGCCUCCCAAUUUUGACCGGUCUCUUACACAGGGUCACAGAGAUAUACAACACCCUACACAAUCAGACACAUUGUAGUACAACUUAUGUCCACCCUGGCCCGAAUCGGUAGUAGAACAGUUUAUGUAGACACCAACACAAGUUAAAAGUGUAAUAGAGGAAAGUGAGCCUUUGUCAGACUACAAAGUAUCUGCCCUUUGCAGUUUAGAUAUAAACAGCAUGUUAUUAAUCAACACUAUUACAACCAUUAUUUAAUAACUGUAAAUUCUUUUAACAAAAAAUUAAGUUAAAAGUAGCAAUGAUUAGCUGGCAUUAUUUUGUGACUAUAUAAUUUUUCUGUUCUGAUGUGCUUAUUGUACUUUGGUAUUCUGUGAGGUUAGAUGAUAGACGGACACACUACUGUUACUGCUAAGAAACUUUGUUCAUAUUUACUUUUUAUGUGUGUGUGAUGGCUGGUUGUAAAAAGAUUGUAAUAAAAGAAUUUUUUGUUGCUUUAGAUCAGACCUGGGCAAACGCCGGCCC